rnacentral:tRNA from 1 species
GAGAGAGGCACUGCCUGCAGCAAAGGCCGCUACCCUUCGCAACCUCGGUUGGAAUCCGACGCUCCCUCG